GCCUUGCCUUGCCUUGUGAAGGGAACGUAAUCCGCACUUGAUCCGACCCAGCUACUAGGCGCCACUGGGCGAGUGAACGUUCUCACAUGGCUCAUAGUGAUGCAUUUCGGUUCACCUUGAUUUUUCUCUGUGUGAAAAGAAAACACACCAAGUUUACCAACUCAUCCACUGAUUCAGACCAGAGCAAACCAACUAUAGGUUUGAAAAUGCCCUGAGACCGUGUUGCACUACACAAGUACAGUAUGUCAACCCUGUUUUAGAUUGAUUUAAUUUCUUCCAGUCAGCCACUGGUUUACAAUCAUUUAUUGAAGUUAGCUCAUAAAACUUGAUUGAGCCACACAGUCCUUCACAGUUAUCCUUUAAUUUCCUUACUGUCAUAUACAAAUAAGAGAGAUGAUGAAGUCAAGAGCCGGUUGCUGUAAAACAUGCAUUCAUAAGCUGUGCUAUGAGCUAACCAAACCCGAAAACACUGAUACUGACAAAAAUGAUUUUAAUUCUGUUAUUUCUUACAUUAAAGAGCUGCGUGACUUAAAAUAUUUGACUGACCAAACAUACCCUGUUAGCAACUGCCAGGAUCGAUAAUGAAUUGACUUAUUUAGGUCAUUACAUCCUCUGCAGAUUCAUUUAUGCUCUGCGGCUGUAUUGCACUUGCACUGUCCGGUCAGUACUUCACAGUGUUUAAACAAACACUGAUUUCCUAGGAAAAAUCCACUGAUGAGGGUCCAGAGAGACACAGAUAGAUAGGCUGACAAAACUGUUUCCAAACCUAGUUCACUCCACACCCAAUUUGCAAGUGAUCUGACUUUCUUGUUCUGAUAUAAUCCAGCCACGAUGUGCACUGACCCUGUUUAAACAAAGCAAGAGCCGGAAAAAGUAAUUAGGUCACAUAAUUAAAUAAAUACAUCCAGGGGAAACAGUGAACAGGUGUUCUCAGGCCACGAGUGGAUACACAGAUAUAUAUAUAACAAUAUGAAAUCUAACCUUUCGGGUCAUAUCCUGAAAAUAUAAAGUUCUAAACAAUAGGUCUUAAACAACAAUAUUUCACAUUCCAGUUUUUUUUGAAUUCAUAAAAUAUCUGAACUGGGGCUUUAAGAUUCCUUUGUUUCCUCUGUCCAGCUGUUAAUCUAUUGUUAUUGAUUACUUUUAACUGCAGAGAUUAAACAUGUGUGUGUCCUGGCUAAUGUGAAUGUAUGACUGUUAUGACUUAGACUAAUUUCACAAUUACAAAGACUCACAGAAAUGGAGUGGUCUCCAGUCAUAUUUUACUCAUUAUACAUCCUCCCUCUGUUUCUGUUUUCUUCAUGUCUCCUCAUUAAUCUUUUCUUCAGCCCUAAAACACAUAUUUUCCCUGUUCUCCCCCUCUUUGUUCUUUUAUUCGUUUUUAAUUUUCGCUUUCUAUUUGACUUCCUCUGAGUGUACUGGAGUAUAAAGAACUAGAUCUGCAGUUGACAAAACAAGGUCAUCACUGGCUGUUCUGGAGCUUUUGGCCAUAUUACAUGAUCCCUCUUAAUAGAUGGAGUUUGCCCAGCUGUCAUGGAAUAGAAUAGGUGUGAAAUUUAACUUCCAAUUAUUUUUGUUCAGUUUAAUUUCAAUUUGAAAUAAAGUUAAGCCAUCAAGCUUUAAGCCAUCAGCCAAGAGCCUGCAUGCAGCUGCUGUUACAGGUAGAGAGCAGAAGGCAGAUCACCUGUAACCCCUGAUUGUCUCAUUUCAAGACCUUUCUGACCAACAGGAAGGAGCGUGACAAUCAUAGAAAGUAUUCAAUUACGCCUUCUAGGGAGAGUUGGUAAGAGACGAAUAUGGAGGCGAGAGAGGCAGCCAUGCAGCCAAAGGAAGUGCAUUUUUGUCAGCAGUAGAGCUUCUGCAAGUGAGGAUGUCAGUCAGUGUCAGUAAGAGUUUGGCUGGUUGACGAGAGGAGAAUUUACUGAAAUACGCUUCAUUUCUUUGCAUGUAUCAUUAAUUAACUAUCAUGCAGUAUUUGAACCAACCUCAUUUAUGAGUUUGUUUUAAAUACAUGCUCAUCCAACAUCCUCUGCACAUCCCUGCCUUGAACAAUUUUAAAACUAUGGUGAAAUCUAUUGAGUCUGAUGGUCUGUGUGCAAAUGUUUUAUCUGAUCAUUUUUAAUGUUACUCAAAUCAAUGUGCUUUUAUGUUAAUUUAUUGUUGAAUCUCUGUGUUGCUGCUGUUCUUGGCCAGAUCUCCCUUGUAAAAGAGAUAUUUGAUCUCAGUGGGACAAACCUGGUUAAAUAAAGGCUAAAAGAAAAAAAAAAUACUUUGCUUUUACUGGGUUUCUCAGAUGACAUUGGGUGGCAACAUUCUCGUCUUCUCCUAGUGAAAAUAACAUCUUAAUGAUAUAGUUUAUUCUUGCUCUGUAAUAUAAAAGUUUGUCUGUAUCUUACCAAGUUCUCACUGUUGUACUUUUAGUAAAAUGUAUGGAAUAGCUUUUCAACAACUAUGGUAUUCCUUACAGUUGUAAAUUUAAGUUUUUGUGGCAAUUCAGGAAACAGUAGGUAUAUUAAGAAGGAAUAAGUCAAAACCGCCUGUCUCAAAUAAUGUUUUCAACACUAGUUACGACUGAGUGUGUGUGUAGCUCCAUUCAUGUUUUUUUUUUCUUGCACAUUGUUCUGACAUUGUUACUAGCCCACAAUAGGCACUAUUCAAAAUGCCUUAAACUUUGUACAUUCUAUCUCAUUUAAACGUUAUUACA